rnacentral:rRNA from 1 species
ACGGAAGGCAGCAGUGAGGAAUAUUGGUCAAUGGAGGCAACUCUGAACCAGCCAUCUCGCGUGAAGGAAUACGGCCCUACGGGUCUUAAACUUCUUUUAUAGGGGGAUAAAGUGAGCCACGUGUGGCUUUUUGUAGGUACCCUAUGAAUAAGCAUCGGCUAACUCCGUGCCAGCAGCCGCGGUAAUACGGAGGAUGCGAGCGUUAUCCGGAUUUAUUGGGUUUAAAGGGUGCGUAGGCGGGACGUUAAGUCAGUGGUAAAAGCGUGUGGCUCAACCAUACCAAGCCAUUGAAACUGUCGUUCUUGAGUGUAAACGAGGUAGGCGGAAUGUGACGUGUAGCGGUGAAAUGCUUAGAUAUGUCACAGAACCCCGAUUGCGAAGGCAGCUUACCAGCAUACAACUGACGCUGAGGCACGAAAGCGUGGGUAUCAAACAGGAUUAGAUACCCUGGUA